UACGUAGGGGCCAAGCGUUGUCCGGAUUUAUUGGGCGUAAAGUGCUCGUAGGCGGUUCGGCAAGUCAGCUGUGAAAUCUCCACGCUCAACGUGGAGGGGUCAGCUGAUACUGCUGUGACUCGAGUCCGGUAGGGGAGUGUGGAAUUCCCGGUGUAGCGGUGAAAUGCGCAGAUAUCGGGAGGAACACCAGUGGCGAAGGCGAGUCUCUGGGCUGAUACCGACGCUGAGGCGCGAAAGCCAGGGGAGCAAACGGG
rnacentral:rRNA from 1 species